GACGAACGCUGGCGGUAUGCUUAACACAUGCAAGUCGAACGAGACGAGAUGGAAGGAGUCUUCGGGUGACGGAAAUCUUAGAAAGUGGCGAACGGGUGAGUAACGCGUGGGUAACCUGCCCUAUGGAAAGGAAUAGCCGCGGGAAACUGGGAGUAAUGGCUUAUAAAAUAGUGAAGUCGCAUGGCUUUGCUAUUAAUGGAUUCGGUGCAAUAGGAUGGACCCGCGUCCCAUUAGCUAGUUGGUGAGAUAACAGCACACCAAGGCGACGAUGGGUAACCGGUCUGAGAGGUCGAACGGUCACACUGGGACUGAGACACGGUCCAGACUCCUACGGGAGGCAGCAGUGGGGAAUAUUGCGCAAUGGGGAAACCCUGACGCAGCAAUACCGCGUGAGUGAAGAAGGUUUUCGGAUCGUAAAGCUCUGUUAUUGGGGAAGAAAAAAGACGGUACCCAAGAAGAAAGUCCCGGCUAACUACGUGCCAGCCGCCGCGGUAA
rnacentral:rRNA from 1 species